GACCGCAGCGCUCAUUCGAUCUUGCGCUGGAUCGUAGACGUGCUCCUACUUGCGCCAUGCAGCUAGCGACUUGUAUGCCGUGCAACUAUGCACCUGUCACUACCAUCUAGCAGCGAGCACAACCAUUUCGGGGCAGCGUCAAGCAAACAGGCCAGCCGGAUAGGCAUGCUCUGCCUAAGACAGUGACCAUCAUGAUCCGGCGAGGGCGUGCUCCGCGCCCCGCGAGUUGAGCGGCCAACAGGCCUCGCGUCCGGCAGCUGCAGUAUCAAGUGAGAUGUGUGUCACGAAAAUCAGGGGCGAACUGACGGGCUGUCAGGGCGUUCCUGACAGCGGUCUCGGCCGCAAAACGCCUGCUGCGCCGGGCUU
rnacentral:sRNA from 1 species